UUGUCUGCAAAGUUCCAUUUGAAGAGGUACUGACAUGAUAUCUUCAAUUAUUCCUUUUUUUCUCUCAUUAAAUUAAGGCUUUAGAGCUCUAAAAAUAUAAUAACAAGCCUUGGAGUGGCGUGAUUUAGUAUAAUAGCUUUCCUGGAGCCGGUUUCAGUUUUGUUUUCUGGGAGGAUACUAUGUAGUGACAUCACAACACAGUAUGUGGUCAUGUGAGAAAAGGACAUUGCAAUGUUUUGACACUCUCUUGAGGCCUCCGGCUAGCUCAGUCGACUUGUGCACUGCAAAUUUUGAAGGUCAAUGUAGCAGCACAUUAGACGACUGAAUGAGCUAGAGCGAGUGUCAUAACAUCGUAAUGUCUUGCUCCCACAUGACCAUAUACUGUGUCGUGACAUCAAGGCAUAGUAUCCUCCUGGAAAACAAAAGUGGCUGUAAAGAAGCUACUAUAUUGAAUUAUUUACGGUGUUUUGAGGCUUCACCCCUCAAACGCUGUCUGUCGUCUUCUCUCCGCCACUCUUCAGCACUGAACUUCAUCCGACCAAACACCAGAGAAAAGAGUGAUGCUGAUACAGACACACAAGUUUUUUUGGCAGUGGAAUAUGUUAACUGGACAAACUGCUGCAAGCGUUGCAUAGCAACAUGCAUUGAAGCUGCUUUGUCAUGCGACUCUCACGCUACCUGCGUUGGAACCAGAUGGCUCACAUGAAAAGAUUCAGGUGUCUCAGCAGCAGCACACCCACCCGUUGUUGGUCACCUCCAUUUGAAAUUCAAAAGGAAGUUUCACACGAGUGUUCAUUUCGAAUCACCGAUAGCAAUACCUCACCUUGGCAUAGCCAACUACCUGUAAAAUACUUCACAUAACAUCAAUUUUCACAUUGCGUGGGAUUUACGCAAGUUUAUCUCAUAGUUUUCAUGUAGAGCCUUUUGGACCUUUAUGUGGGGGAUAAUAAAAUGGCUUUUCAAGUCUAGCUCCUCUGAAAUAUAUAUAAUUCGACACCUUGCAUGCUAAGCUGCAGCUUCUUAAGUCCCAAACUGGCAUCAAGAAAGCCAGGACUGUAAAAUGAUACUGGGCUGGACAAAUCAGUUUCCAAAGAUUUAUGUUACGUUCUUGACCUCCUUUCCAGAGUUCCUGUGAUAAGUUUGUGUGAAAAGACAUUCUCAAAGCUAACAUAUGUAGAGACCAGGCUGAGAAGCUUUAUGUCAAGAAUGGCUUAGCUGGCUGAUGGUGCCUUUGGUGGAGCAAUGAAUUGCAAUUUUUUUUAUGAUGUUAUGAAGAUGAAUAACACCAUAGCAUGCAGACUUAUGCUGCAGAAAGAAAGCAAGAAGCGAAUGAGUAAUUGCAAAGUGAUCUGCAUAUUGUAUCCCAGCUGUA